UACGUAGGGGGCUAGCGUUGUCCGGAUUUAUUGGGCGUAAAGAGCUCGUAGGCGGCUUGUCGCGUCGUCCGUGAAAACCUGCAGCUCAACUGCAGGCUUGCGGUCGAUACGGGCAGGCUAGAGUUCGGUAGGGGAGACUGGAAUUCCUGGUGUAGCGGUGAAAUGCGCAGAUAUCAGGAGGAACACCGGUGGCGAAGGUGGCAUCCUGGACCGGUAUUGACGCUGAGGAGCGAAAGCCAGGGGAGCAAACGGG
rnacentral:rRNA from 1 species